rnacentral:rRNA from 1 species
CCCCUAGACGUUCUGGGCUGCACGCGCGCUACAAUAAUACGCACAGCGAGUAUCACCGAGCUCGAAAGGGCAAGGUAAACAAUAGAAAAGGUACUGUAAUGGUUAUAGAUCCUUGUAAUUAUUGAGCUUCAACGAGGAAUUCCUAGUAAGUAUGUGUCAUCAUCACGCACUGAUUACGUCCCUGCCCUUUGUACACACCGCCCGUCGCUCCUACCGAUUGGGUGAGCCGAUGAAACUCUCGGAUGUAGGCUAUUCAUAGCCCGCAGAAGAGAUUUGAAUCGUAGCGCUUAGAGGAAGGAGAAGUCGUAACA